rnacentral:rRNA from 1 species
GACGAACGCUAGCGGCGUGCUUAACACAUGCAAGUCGAACGGAAAGGCCUGCUUUCCCUUGUGGAUUGCGGGUACUCGCGUGGCGAACGGGUGAGUAACACGUGCGUGUUCUGCCCCCAUCUUGGGUAUAAGCCUGGGAAACUGGCUCUAAUUCCCGCUAGGACUGCGGUGUGGUGCCUGUGGUUGAGGACGAUUUUCUAGGGGUCGGGGAUGAGCUCGCGGUCUAUGAGCUGGUUGGUGGGGUAAUGUCCGACCAGGGCGGGGCCUGUUAGCCUGCCUGGGAGGGUGGGCGGGAACGUGGGGCCUGAGACACGGCCCAGGAGCCUACGGGAGGCAGCAGUGGGGAAGAAUGCACGAUGGGCGGAGGCCUGAUGCAGCAAGGCUGCGGGAGGGAUGACGGCCUUCGGGUGGUAAACUCCUUUCGGCCGCGAGGAAGCCACUUGGUUGGAAGGGUGGUGACGGUAGUGGUAGAAGAAGCACCGGCUAACUACGUG